rnacentral:rRNA from 1 species
UGAGCAAUCUGCCCUUCUCUUUGGAAUAAGCGUUGGAAACGACGUCUAAUACCGGAUAUGACCAUUGGUUGCAUGACUGGUGGUGGAAAGCUUUUGCGGUGUGGGAUGGGCCCGCGGCCUAUCAGCUUGUUGGUGGGGUUAAGGCCUACCAAGGCGACGACGGGUAGCCGGCCUGAGAGGGUGACCGGCCACACUGGGACUGAGACACGGCCCAGACUCCUACGGGAGGCAG